rnacentral:rRNA from 1 species
GACAGAGGUGCCAAGCGUUAGGCGGAAUCACUGGGCUUAAAGCGUGUGUAGGCGGAUAUCUAAGUACCUUGUGAAAUCCCACGGCUCAACCGUGGAACUGCUUGGUAUACUGGGUGUCUUGAGCCAUCUAGGGGCUACCGGAACAAAUGGUGGAGCGGUGAAAUGCGUAGAUAUCAUUUGGAACGCCAAUGGUGAAAACAGGUAGCUGGGGAUGUGCUGACGCUGAGACGCGAAAGCGUGGGGAGCGAACAGG